GACAUCUCUUCCUCUCCGAACUGGCCUUUAAAUUAAAGCCAACUGCCUGUGAUAUAUGAGUACUGGAACCUUUUUGGCACUGCGCAGCAGUUCCAAAUCUGCAAUCAACACACCUGACGCUGAUGAGUCCCCUGCGCUUCUUAAUCCAGCGCAACCUGCGUUCCAACGCCAGAACGUAGCUACCGGUUUCUGUACACAGCGUUCCUCCGUUUCCUGGUUUUGAGCUGUGUGUCUCGUCUCCCCGAAAUCCCUCUGGUUCCCUG